GCAAGUUGAGCUUGCGGGUUCGACGAUUCCUACGGGAGGCAGCAGCGGGGAAUAUUGGACAAUGGGCGAAAGCCUGAUCCAGCAACGCCGCGUGAGUGAUGAAGGUCUUCGGAUCGUAAAGCUCUGUCGGGAGGAACGAUGCACUCACUAGACAAUACCUAGUGAGUCUGACGGUACCUCUAAAGGAAGCACCGGCUAACUCUGUGCCAGCAGCCGCGGUAAGACAGAGGGUGCAAGCGUUGUUCGGAUUCAUUGGGCGUAAAGGGCGCGUAGGCGGCCUCGCAAGUCGGAUGUGAAAGCCCAGGGCUCAACCCUGGAAGUGCAUCCGAAACUGCGUGGCUUGAGUGUCGGAGAGGGUGGUGGAAUUCCUGGUGUAGAGGUGAAAUUCGUAGAUAUCAGGAGGAACACCCGUGGCGAAGGCGACCACCUGGACGAACACUGACGCUGAGGCGCGAAAGCGUGGGGAGCAAACAGGAUUAGAUACCCUGGUAGUCCACGCCGUAAACGAUGGGUACUAGGUGUUGCGGGUAUUGACCCCUGCAGUGCCGACGCUAACGCAUUAAGUACCCCGCCUGGGGAGUACGGCCGCAAAGGCUAAAACUCAAAUGAAUUGACGG
rnacentral:rRNA from 1 species